UACAGAGGGUGCGAGCGUUUGUUCGGAAUUACUGGGCGUAAAGCGUUUGUAGGCGGUGCUGAGAGUCCUAGGUGAAAUCCCCGAGCUCAACUCGGGAACUGCCUAGGAGACCUCAGUACUAGAGUACUGAAGGGGUUACUGGAAUUCCAUGUGUAGCGGUGAAAUGCGUAGAUAUAUGGAGGAACACCUGUGGCGAAGGCGGGUAACUGGUCAGAGACUGACGCUGAGAAAACGAAAGCGUGGGGAGCAAACAGG
rnacentral:rRNA from 1 species